rnacentral:rRNA from 1 species
UGCGCAGGCGGCCUGCUAAGUCGGAUGUGAAAGCCCCGGGCUUAACCUGGGAAUUGCAUUCGAUACUGGCAGGCUAGAGUUUGGUAGAGGUAAGCGGAAUUCCGGGUGUAGCGGUGAAAUGCGUAGAUAUCCGGAGGAACAUUAGUGGCGAAGGCGGCUUACUGGACCAAAACUGACGCUCAUGCACGAAAGCGUGGGUAGCAAACA